rnacentral:misc_RNA from 1 species
CGUGGUUACUAGGAGGGGAGGGGGACAAAGGGGGCUCGAUUGCCAGGGAGGCGAUCAUUGUACGAGGGAAGACAAGGGGUCCGGACACGCGACGACCGGUUGUGGGGUGGAUUUCAACACAGUCACGGAGGACAGGGCUCAUGGCGGGAUCGAAGGCCACGAGGAUGCCCUGGACAAGUUGACCAUCGUUGAGGAGGACACGCACGGUGAGCCCGUCGAAAGGGGGUGAAGUCAUGAGAGAGUGGAGAAGUGAAUGGCGAAUGGUGCGGCAGAGGGAUGAGCUGCCCACAAGGAAAGAGGAAUGGAGAAGAGAGAGGUGGUGCUUUGUGGUGGGAGAUGGAAGAGAGGGAGAUGGAGAGUGCAGCUGCAAUUAUGCAAUCUAUGGCCACGGCGGCAGCCCUGGUGCGCGUUUCGUCUGGUGAGGCGAGCCCGCGGCGGCUGACAGGCAGAGGGGAAAUGGCCGUCAGGACGAGUUCGAAGAGGCCCUCGUCGCAGGGGAGCGUGAGGCAGACCGCGCAGAAGGAACAGGAAGCCGAGCAGCCGAGGUCGAGCAGAUCUGCAGCAGGUGCCGACGCGACCGAGCAGCACUGCAGCAAAGGCCGAGCACAAGACAA